AUUGAACGCUGGCGGCAGGCCUAACACAUGCAAGUCGAGCGGAUGACGGGAGCUUGCUCCUUGAUUCAGCGGCGGACGGGUGAGUAAUGCCUAGGAAUCUGCCUGGUAGUGGGGGACAACGUUUCGAAAGGAACGUUAAUACCGCAUACGUCCUACGGGAGAAAGCAGGGGACCUUCGGGCCUUGCGCUAUCAGAUGAGCCUAGGUCGGAUUAGCUAGUUGGUGGGGUAGUGGCUCACCAAGGCGACGAUCCGUAACUGGUCUGAGAGGAUGAUCAGUCACACGGGAACUGGGACACGGUCCAGAAUCCUACGGGAGGCAGCAGUGGGGAAGAUUGGAAAAUGGGCGAAAGCCUGAUCCAGCCAUGCCGCGUGUGUGAAGAAGGUCUUCGGAUUGUAAAGCACUUUAAGUUGGGAGGAAGGGCAGUAAGCUAAUACCUUGCUGUUUUGACGUUACCGACAGAAUAAGCACCGGCUAACUCGGUGCCAGCAGCCGCCGUAA
rnacentral:rRNA from 1 species